UAGUAACUGCGAGUGAACGGGGAAAAGCCCAGCGCUGAAUCCUUCAGCUACUGGCUGCUAGGAAUUGUAGCGUAUAGGUGCCGCUGUCCGUUCGUUUCGUGCACCCAAAGUCCCCUUGAGCGGGGCUAUAGUCCAAAGAAGGUGCUAGACCUGUACGGGUGGCGAGGCGAUCGGUUGGUUGCUCCUUGGAGUCGGGUUGCCUGGGAUCGCAGCCCAAAGUUGGUGGUAGACCUCAUCUAAGGCUAAAUAUGGCCACGAAACCGAUAGCAAACAAGUACCGUGAGGGAAAGUUGCAAAGAACUUUGAAGAGAGAGUUCAAGAGGGCGUGAAACCGUUGAGAUUGAAACGGAUAGAGUUGACGGAACUCAGCUGCAUUCAUCCGAUCGGCCUAAUGGCCCGAUAGCGUUCGCAUCCUCGAUGAGGGCAACGUUAUCGGUAACUAUUGCGCAAUUGAUCGGUGUAUUUGCGGCUGGUAUGCGCUGAGAGCUUUGUGAUCGCAUGCUAACGGGUGUGCAGUGGACCAUUCCUUCCGGGCGUGGAACCCUUCACAUUUUUAGGCAUGUCGAUUAUAAAGUUUUGAGCGUGGCGUCUCCGCUAUUGUGCGUCGGCUUAUGCGUGCUAUUGUGAUUAUUGGAUAUUCGCAUGCGAAUGUCUGUAAUUAGCGAUGGUGCGACAAAAGUGCGGACGCGUUGAGACGUGCAUCUCGGUGUGAACGUUG
rnacentral:rRNA from 1 species